CAAGAGAGCCUGAUUAGGUUUGAAUGGGCUCCAGGUGUAGCUCAUUCAUGCUACUCUAUAUAUACACCAAGCAAAUUCUCAGGUUGCAAAGACACUGCUCCUCAUCCCUGUGGCCAGAUUUUCACCUGAUGGCCAGGACACUCCCUGGGUUUGAUGUCUCUCUUAAGAGGCUGAGCCCUGACUGAGGAAGGGUUGGGGCCUGUCCAAGCCGGGGCCUAGCUCCCCAAGCAUCCACUCCUUUUGCAGGGCUUGAGUGGGUCUUCCCCUAAAAUUCCCCGCGGCUUGGUGGACAGCAACCUUCUCCCAUGACUAAUAGCUCUUAACUUUUUUUUUUUGUAUGUUCAGGUUUUAGCUUCUCCUAGGACUGUCAAAUAAGUUUUUAUGGUUGCCAACAAAUGUUUUGAACAUCUUGUUUUUAGUUCAUAUAUUUAAUAAACCUUAUUGUUAUUACUUGAAAA